UGUUGACCCCUGCUAUAACUAUAACUUGGAGAGCAACAAACAUUUCUUACAAUAUUAACAAUAUAAGGUGUGACAACUUCCAGGGCUGGUACAGGCUGUUCUAAAACAGUCAGAAUGCCCAGAUGCCAGAAUCAUGUGUUAAUCAAUACAUGUGUGGCACUUAUUAUCCAAUGUGGCUCAAUGGCUCUCAUCCGCGACUGGAAGAUUGAGUGGUCACCCGUCAGGUCUGUGGCUCCGGAUGGACUGGCUGCUGUACUUACAGAUCUCUCCCUAUACAAGUCAAAGCCUGUCCAGGAAAUUACUAUGUUUAUGAGUUUGUCAGGCCAAUAUUCUGUGGAGCUUACUGUGCAGGUGAGCAUUUAUUAAUGUGUAUUUCAGUCAUUUACCUUUCUGUGUUAUUUAAAAUUAUAUUGAUAAAAACAAUUGUUCCUGAUAUCAGAUGUCACAAAGCUUAGUGCAGCCUUUUUGACAACAGCAUCAACACCAAGAACAGCAACAACACCAAUAACAACAAAGGCAGCAACAACACCAACACCAAUGACUCCACCAAUCAUAACCACUGGUGUAAGGGUUCACUGUUCUGAACUCAUCUGCUCGGAGGAUGAACACUGUGGGGAAACAAAUAGUGUUUAUGGCUGUUUAUGUAACACGUAUCAUUACAGAUGGCAUUCUGAAUCUUUUGGUUGGAAGUGUUUAACAACAGUUUUUUUGGCCUUUUAAUAACAUUUUUUUUUUUUUUUAUAAUUCAACUUUUUAAUGUUUUCUUUCAGAUUUCUCAGAAAUCUGUGAAAGCAGCUCUGGCUCCAUGUCUGUGUUUCGCUCUCAGCUCUUUGAGGCUGGUUUUUCAGCUGAUAUCUUACAUCUCAAUGAUCCCAGCUGCAAAGGAACAGUGCGGAAUGGCAGAGUGGAAUUUCAUUUUGACAACGAUGAACACAUCUGUGGUACAAACCUUGUGGACUGUAACUCUGGACAGCACUGGAGAAAGCGCAGGUCUCUGGACUUCUAUGACAGUUCUUCCAUAUCCAAGGGUCCUCUGAUGGUGUCAGAAGGAAACACAGGUGAACAUUCACUUAACUUUUAGUCGUUAAUAAGUUAAUAUUUCUGUCAUGAAUACAUUACAUUUCACUGCACUAUGCAUUAUAU